rnacentral:rRNA from 1 species
UAGAGAAUCUUCGGCAAUGGGGGCAACCCUGACCGAGCAACGCCGCGUGAGUGAAGAAGGUUUUCGGAUCGUAAAGCUCUGUUGUAAGAGAAGAACGUGUGUGAGAGUGGAAAGUUCACACAGUGACGGUAACUUACCAGAAAGGGACGGCUAACUACGUGCCAGCAGCCGCGGUAAUACGUAGGUCCCGAGCGUUGUCCGGAUUUAUUGGGCGUAAAGCGAGCGCAGGCGGUUUAAUAAGUCUGAAGUUAAAGGCAGUGGCUUAACCAUUGUUCGCUUUGGAAACUGUUAAACUUGAGUGCAGAAGGGGAGAGUGGAAUUCCAUGUGUAGCGGUGAAAUGCGUAGAUAUAUGGAGGAACACCGGUGGCGAAAGCGGCUCUCUGGUCUGUAACUGACGCUGAGGCUCGAAAGCGUGGGGAGCAAACAGG